CCCAUAAAACUCACAUGUGCAUGUGUUAGUGCUAACCCGACGAAGAUGAACUCCGGAUCAAGCUCUCCCACAGCAAAUUUCGUGGGUUUAAUUUUCGUUUUUGGAGCUUUGAGAAUGAAAGUUUGACCAAACGGAAGAAACCCACUAUACGUUAAAGCUAUGGGAUGAGAUGGAGUGUUAUUAGGUUUACCAAUCCAUGCACUAAUUGCAGUACAUACAGCUCUCUCAAAGGAUAGUAAUUGCUGGUUAGUUGAUU